UACGAAGGGUGCAAGCGUUACUCGGAAUUACUGGGCGUAAAGGGUGCGUAGGUGGUUUGUUAAGUCUGCUGUGAAAUCCCCGGGCUCAACCUGGGAAUGGCAGUGGAUACUGGCAAGCUAGAGUGCGGUAGAGGGUAGUGGAAUUCCCGGUGUAGCAGUGAAAUGCGUAGAGAUCGGGAGGAACACCAGUGGCGAAGGCGGCUACCUGGACCAGCACUGACACUGAAGCACGAAAGCCAGGGGAGCAAACGGG
rnacentral:rRNA from 1 species